rnacentral:rRNA from 1 species
GUAGGGAAUAUUGCGCAAUGGACGAAAGUCUGACGCAGCGACGCCGCGUGAGUGAUGAAGGCCUUAGGGUCGUAAAGCUCUGUUGAAUGGGAAGAAAAAAAUGACGGUACCAUUCGAGGAAGGACCGGCUAACUUUGUGCCAGCAGCCGCGGUAAUACGAGGGGUCCUAGCGUUGUUCGGAAUCAUUGGGCGUAAAGGGUGUGUAGGUGGCCAUGUAAGUCAGGUGUGAAAGCCCCGGGCUCAACCCGGGAAGUGCACUUGAUACUGCGUGGCUUGAGUACCGAAGAGGGUAGUGGAAUUCCAGGUGUAGUGGUGAAAUACGUAGAUAUCUGGAGGAACACCGGUGGCGAAGGCGGCUACCUGGUCGAGUACUGACACUGAGACACGAAAGCAUGGGGAUCAAACAGGAUUAGAUACCCUUGUAGUCC